UACAGGGGGCGCGAGCGUUGCUCGGAAUCACUGGGCGUAAAGCGUACGCAGGCGGACCGUUAAGUCGGGUGUGAAAUCCCAGGGCUCAACCCUGGACGUGCAUUCGAUACUGGCGGUCUCGAGUACGGGAGAGGUGAGUGGAAUUCCUGGUGUAGAGGUGAAAUUCGUAGAUAUCAGGAGGAACACCGGUGGCGAAGGCGCCUAUCUGGCCCGAUACUGACGCUGAGGCGCGAAAGCUAGGGGAGCAAACGGG
rnacentral:rRNA from 1 species